rnacentral:rRNA from 1 species
UCGGGAAUUUUGGGCAAUGGGGGAAACCCUGACCCAGCAACGCCGCGUGAAGGAUGAAGUAUUUCGGUAUGUAAACUUCGAAAGAAUAGGAAGAAUAAAUGACGGUACUAUUUAUAAGGUCCGGCUAACUACGUGCCAGCAGCCGCGGUAAUACGUAGGGACCAAGCGUUGUUCGGAUUUACUGGGCGUAAAGGGCGCGUAGGCGGCAUGACAAGUCACUUGUGAAAUCUCUGGGCUUAACCCAGAACGGCCAAGUGAUACUGUCGCGCUAGAGUGCAGAAGGGGCAAUCGGAAUUCUUGGUGUAGCGGUGAAAUGCGUAGAUAUCAAGAGGAACACCGAUGGCGAAGGCAGCCCCCUGGGUUAACACUGACGCUCAUGCACGAAAGCGUGGGGAGCAAACAGGAUUAGAUACCCAAGUAGUCCCUGAGCGGGCUGGCAAGGCGCAU